GUAUGGCCACUUGUGGUGGGGACGAGAGUGGUGGACAGACACAGUGCCAGCUGUCGCCCAUGGCGUACUGCAUGAUCGUGAGGCAGCUGGGGCUAAAUGAUUUGUAGAUGACCUGAUUGUGGGUCAGGGUUUUGUACGCAGCAGAGCAGCUCCCUUGCUGCGAUCUACUGAGAAUCAGCCCUUGACACAAGCUUUUGU
rnacentral:ncRNA from 1 species